rnacentral:rRNA from 1 species
AUUGAACGCUGGCGGCAGGCCUAACACAUGCAAGUCGAGAGGAGCGGCGGACGGGAGAGUAAGGCCUAGGAAUCUGCCUGGUAGUGGGGGAGAACGUCCGGGAACGGGCGCUAAUACCGCAUACUAUCAGAUGAGCCUAGGUCGGGGUGGCUAGUUGGUGGGGUAGAGUCUGAGCAAGGCGACGAUCCGUAACUGGUCUGAGAGGAUGAUCAGUCACACUGGAACUGAGACACGGUCCAGACUCCUACGGGAGGCAGCAGUGGGGAAUAUUGGACAAGGGGCGAAAGCCUGAUCCAGCCAUGCCGCGUGUGUGAAGAAGGUCUUCGGAUUGUAAAGCACUUUAAGUUGGGAGGCGUUACCAACAGAAUAAGCACCGGCUAACUUCGUGCCAGCAGCCGCGGUAAUUC